GAGACUGCCGGUGUUAAACCGGAGGAAGGUGGGGAGUGACGUCAAGUCCUCAUGGCCUUUAUGCUUAGGGCUACACACGUGCUACAAUGGGUGGUACAAAGAGAAGCCAACUCGCGAGAGCGCGCCAAUCUCAAAAAGCCAUCCUCAGUUCGGAUUGGAGUCUGCAACUCGACUCCAUGAAGUUGGAAUCGCUAGUAAUCGCGGAUCAGCAUGCCGCGGUGAAUACCGUUCCCGGGCCUU
rnacentral:rRNA from 1 species